rnacentral:rRNA from 1 species
UACGUAUGGGGCGAGCGUUGUCCGGAGUUACUGGGCGUAAAGCGCACGCAGGCGGUCUGCUAAGUUUGGAGUGACAGUUGGUGGCUUAACUGCCAAAGUGCUUCGAAAACUGACAGACUUGAGGGCUUCAGAGGGACACGGAAUUCCGGGUGGAGUGGUGAAAUGCGUAGAGAUCCGGAGGAACACCAAAGGCGAAGGCAGUGUCCUGGGGAGUACCUGACGCUCAGGUGCGAAAGCCAGGGGAGCGAACGGG